UCCACGGUGACGUGGAAUCUGAAGGAAGCGAGCGGCAAACCUCCGGUCUGAGGAACACGAACUUCAUAUAAGGCUAAGUAUCAUUGGGUGAGUCUGCUAGACAAGAUAAAGCCCCUUCUGCCGAAGGUGAUACGGAGUAGAUGAAGCAGAUAGGUGGAGGGAAAGAUUGCACUC
rnacentral:ncRNA from 1 species